rnacentral:rRNA from 1 species
AGUGAACGCUGGCGGUAGGCCUAACACAUGCAAGUCGAACGGCAGCACAGUAAGAGCUUGCUCUUACGGGUGGCGAGUGGCGGACGGGUGAGGCAUACAUCGGAAUCUACUUUUUCGUGGGGGAUAACGUAGGGAAACUUACGCUAAUACCGCAUACGACCUACGGGUGAAAGCAGGGGAUCUUCGGACCUUGCGCGACUGAAUGAGCCGAUGUCGGAUUAGCUAGUUGGCGGGGUAAAGGCCCACCAAGGCGACGAUCCGUAGCUGGUCUGAGAGGAUGAUCAGCCACACUGGAACUGAGACACGGUCCAGACUCCUACGGGAGGCAGCAGUGGGGAAUAUUGGACAAUGGGCGCAAGCCUGAUCCAGCCAUACCGCGUGGGUGAAGAAGGCCUUCGGGUUGUAAAGCCCUUUUGUUGGGAAAGAAAAGCAGCAGGUGAAUACCCCGCUGUUCUGACGGUACCCAAAGAAUAAGCACCGGCUAACUUCGUG